GAUAAUGAGCUGAAGUUAUCCAACAAACCUUCACUGGUCAAGAAGGUGAGGCAUGUAGGGAAAUCGACAGAAAGACAAAUGCUAACGGAGAAGGAAGAGAAGACUGCCGAGGUCCAUUUGCGAAGAAUAAUGCAUGUGUUUGCUGCCAAAUAGCAUCCAGGUGUUCUUGCGGUUUAACUUUGUGGCCAUUUCUGCAAAGUGGUCGCAAAACAAAUAAAUGGCUCCCCCAUUAAAACUAAACAGACUUCAAACAAACAUCGCUCGCUCAAUGUCAAACCACUAAGGAGUAAAAGCUUUUGUCUGGUAUUCCUGCAUAUGUUUAGUUUCGUAAGAGUACUGAUGAACUGAAGAGCGACUCUAGUCACGUCACUUUCCGACAAAGCGCCGUUGACGUUAAAGACCGGAUUGAUUUUCCUCGGAAAUAUGUGUUUAUAUGAGGAGAAGUGAGCUAGCUUGUAGCAUACACCAUACGCUAAGCUAAAAAAGGGCAUGAGAAGAAUUCGAUCAUGUGACAUGGGAUCCAUAGGAUGAGAAAAGAUGUGGCGAAAGAUAAACCUUACAAACUGACAAUGUAACAAAAGAUAACUAUGUAAUCAGAUUAGAUCAGAUGAGAUUAUGUAUCAUACGACAAACAUUGGGUGAGCUGAGAUGAAAACAUAACACAACAUAAGAUGAGCCCAUAUGUAACAUAAGAACUUGCGAUAACAUCACUACAUAAUGUGAAACAGCCGGGCGCGAUAAGCAGUCGUUCAAUUUUCCCAUCAUCUAAUCUAAAAUGACACCCGCCGGCGACUUAUACAAUAUGUACGAGGAAAAGUUGGAAAUGAUUUGUUUCUCGACUUGCACUUCAUAUCAGUUAGCUAUAGCUAACAAAAGCGUGGAGGUUGAAAGGAAAAUCCAAUUGCAAUAAAUAUAUUGUUAAACAAGUAGCAGUCAAAACUGAGCAGUCUUAUCUUAUCGUGACAGCAGACUGGGAAUUCCUGACAAUUUGACUGAUGGUAUUGAGUUUGCAGUGCGGCCAUUUUUCAUUGAAAUAUUUUCAAACAAAGUGAAUGCCUGCCUGUGAAAACAUCCCUCCAUAAAUCAUGUAUGAGGGGGGGGGGAAAUAUAAACAGAAAGUUAUCAAAAAUGUGCAUGUUUUAUAUUCCGCCGUUAGGAAACUUGCAGUGCUUGAGUGACUGGAAGCUAAAACCUUCAUUAGAUUGUUGGGCACCAGAGAGGAUGUAGCCAUGAGGUCACGGAAGUCAAUAACCAGCACGACCACUUCUCCCUGUUCGCUUCCAGACUUGACCUGAAUAUGUGCGACGGUCAAGUCAAGGAAGACCGAAGCAAGAUUUCGUCUUUGUACAUGAUUGAAAGUGCGAGGGGCGCUUUGGCGCAGCUGGCGGAUGAAGAUGAAAGGGCAGUGGAGGCAGAGGAGCGUUUGGAUCUGGCGGCUCUUUUCUACAAGGACAAGACAUCUUGAGCAAGAG